ACCCGACACUCCUAUCUACCAAGCCACGAGGUUACAGGAGCUCACUUGUUUCCACCAUAGGGGCCCAACCAGCAGAGACCUGGUGUCCUAACCAAGGGUCUUGCCACCCCAGGUGCAGGGUCUGGGAGGGGGGUCACCCUAGAGACUGUGGACAUGUGACCCCAGGUUCAAGGUCUGGGGAGGUGGGGUCACCCUGGAGACUGUGGAUGUGUGACCCCAGGUGGGAGACCUGAAAAGGUGGGGUCACCCUAGAGACUGUGGACAUGUGACCCCAGGUUGUCAUUUCUCCGACUGUUUCUGAGUCCGAAUGGCUCCAUCCGUUUGGACAGGAUGACCCAAGCACUGACCCUAUCUGGACCACAAUCAAAAUCAUCAUCAAACGUAACUUGGUUCUUACUCCUUCUUUGACCCCCAGUUACAAUAAUUCUUUUUACUGAUCUAUGAUCUCUGUUUUUUUAAACUACCUGUUAAGACUUGUCUCCUCCAGAUGACAACAGUUACAUUAAGAUAAUAAUGAUGUAGAGAGAAAACCCACACCCCCAAAGAGAUUACAGCCACUUCUCCAAACAGAUCCUAUGGGAAUAACCACAAAAGUCACUCUGAGGCCCCUUAAUAAAACAGGGCAAGAGCUCUGUGACCCUGAUUAGAUAGGGUCUAUGAGUCCCAUGUCAGCAUUGAAGAAGUUACAAAAGAUUACCAUCUGUCCCUCAUCACCCCAAUAAAGAUUUCUUGGGGUUCAUAUCUCUCAACAAUUUGAAGUAAGAGAUAGAUGGGCCCCUGGGCUUAAUAGCUGGUGAUUGUCAAACAGAGCAAAACUGAGGGUUUGUCCUCAGCCAGACAAGAACAAGAAUAACACCUAUUUCCCUUUCUCCAUUGAUAUGGAGGAAAUAAAAUGAUGGGGGAAUUUGUUGCAGUGAAAAGGAGAAAAAAAGAAAAAAAGAAGAGUGAGUUUAAAAAAUUUUUCUUUCCUGAGAACAAAGAAGAUAAAGAGAACAGUGGGCAAGCUGGAGCAUUCCUAGUUUUUUUUUUUUUUUUUUUUCCUUUUUCACAAGCUUCUAACUGUGCAUGUCCAUAACUUAGUUUAUUUUUCUGCUCCCUAAAUGCAGGAGCUACACUUCACACCUACUGUCCUUUGCUUACCCUUACAACACCCUUCCCCUUGUAGUUACACAUCAGAAAGAAGUCUGCACAGCCAACGAACUGCCAGCCUUGAUUACCGGGUUACUGAUGACAGCCUAUGACUGUUUUUGAGAAGAUUCUAAUACAUUUGUUCCUCAUCACCAACCCCUCACUGGGAGCCCUUGCCUUAUGUAUGGAUGUGAGAGUUGGACUGUGAAGAAAGCUGAGCGCCGAAGAAUUGAUGCUUUUGAACUGUGGUGUUGGAGAAGACUCUUGAGAGUCCCUUGGACUGCAAGGAGAUCCAACCAGUCCAUUCUGAAGGAGAUCAGCCCUGGGUGUUCUUU
ensembl:lncRNA